rnacentral:rRNA from 1 species
UACGAAGGGGGCUAGCGUUGCUCGGAAUCACUGGGCGUAAAGGGUGCGUAGGCGGGUCUUUAAGUCAGGGGUGAAAUCCUGGAGCUCAACUCCAGAACUGCCUUUGAUACUGAAGAUCUUGAGUCCGGGAGAGGUGAGUGGAACUGCGGGUGUAGAGGUGAAAUUCGUAGAUAUUCGCAAGAACACCAGUGGCGAAGGCGGCUCACUGGCCCGGUACUGACGCUGAGGCACGAAAGCGUGGGGAGCAAACAGG